rnacentral:rRNA from 1 species
GACGUAGGGGGCCAGCGUUGCUCGGAAUUACUGGGCGUAAAGGGUUCGUAGGCGGUGCGGUAAGUCGGAAGUGAAAUCUCUGGGCUUAACUCAGAGGCUGCUUUCGAAACUGCCGUGCUAGAGUGCGGGAGAGGCGAGUGGAAUUGCAGGUGUAGCGGUGAAAUGCGUAGAUAUCAGGAGGAACACCUGUGGCGAAAGCGGCGCACUGGACCACAACUGACGCUGAGGCGCGAAAGCUAGGGGUGCAAACAGG